CGCAGCCGCGGUAAUUCCAGCUCCAAUAGCGUAUAUUAAAGUUGUUGCAGUUAAAAAGCUCGUAGUUGAAUUUUGGGCUUGGCCGAUUGGUCCGUUCUUGUAGCGAGUACUGGUCGGUUGGGCCUCACCGCUUGGUGAUGCGUAAUGUCCUUUAUUGGGUGUUGCGAGUAGCCAAGACCUUUACCUUGAAAAAAUUAGAGUGUUUAAAGCAGGCAUAUGCCAGAAUACAUUAGCAUGGAAUAAUAGAAUAGGACAACGAUUCUAUUUUGUUGGUUUCUAGGACCGUUGUAAUGAUUAAUAGGGAUAGUUGGGGGCAUUAGUAUUCAAUUGUCAGAGGUGAAAUUCUUGGAUUUAUUGAAGACUAACUACUGCGAAAGCAUUUGCCAAGGAUGUUUUCAUUAAUCAAGAACGAAAGUUAGGGAUCGAAGACGAUCAGAUACCGUCGUAGUCUUAACCAUAAACUAUGCCGACUAGGGAUCGGGCGAAGUUAUUUCAAUGACUCGCUUCGGCACCUUANGGG
rnacentral:rRNA from 1 species